CUGAGCCAAAGGCAGAGGCUUAACCCACUGAGCCACCCAGGUGCCCCUAGAUACUCAGUCUUAACUAGAGAGUGGUUUUUUUGAGCUGAUGAAGGGGAAGGAUUGGGAAAAGCCCCUGUAGUUGCUUGGAGUUCUAACACUGGGGAUUGGCCGGGCACCGACAAGGCUGGUUAGAGUGCUGCAGGUGCCUGGAGCACUUAAGCUUGCAACCGUCUCCAGUUGCUUGCCUUUUACAGUAAUGGCAGAGACCAGGAAGGUUGUUUUUUUCUUUUUUUUUUUUUUAAAGGGGCCUCCAUUUGUUGGAGAUGAAAGUUAAAGAUUUUAGUGGUCUUCCUUUUAGUUAAAUCAUCUAGGUGCAAGUGAGCUGGCUUGCUAAAUUAACUAAAUCUGGAGUGGGCAUAGUUUCCUAUUCCAUCCUGCUCCUUUUAACUAGAAGAAGGUGAUCCUAGUUCAGCCCAUUAAUGAACAGACUUAAAGGCAACCCAGGUGGAUUCAGUGACUUAAAGGAAGACUGGAAUUCUCUCCAUAAAUGGUUUGGAGCUGGCUGUCAUAAUCAUGCAUGGGUUUAUUGGGCUUCUGUGUAUAGGCCUGAGUCUUACUCUAUCUGACUGUCUUACAAAUAUGUUUGAGUCAGAUCUAUUCUUUAUUAUUAAGUCACUAUACAUGACCUGUUUCUUCCUGUGUGACAGCUGCGUGGGGGAGGUUGGCGGUGGUGGCUUCCAACUUUGUAUCUGCUGUACCUGGUACAUAGGAAGUAGGCCCUCAGAAUUUGUGGAAUGUUGUUAACCUAUUGAAUGAUGGAUGCAUUUGCUUAUGGUCUUAACGCUGCAUAGAAUGCCCCUAUUUUUUCCCAUUUAUUCUUUAAGUGUCCCCAGUGAGAAUGUCAAUACUCUUAUGAAGUGCCCCAUUCCAUGUCCUCUACAGGAAUUCUUUGCCACUCAAGCCGUGAUGUGGAAGUGCCUUGAUGCCUUUUACGGCACCUCUCAUGGUCCCUGGUUUUAGGAUCCGCUGCAGUUACCUUUUUCACCUUGUGUGUCGAUCUCAGAGUGGUAUUUCCUUAGCUUUGGAUCAUUGAUGCAGAGCUCCGUGCCUUUCACAUAGUUGAUAAUCAAGUAUUGGAACUAUUUUCCCCUAACUAAUUAGUUUUAAAAAUUUACCUUGUUUUUUAUAUCCUUCCAUUAAAAUUGAUCACUUCACUUAUUCAUCAAUAUAGAUAAAAUAGUAAUUUUUCAGUAGGUUUUUAACUCAUGGCCAUGAGAGCUAAAUCUAAUUUGUUUUUAACUUACUUACAUUACUAGAGGGAAUAGCAGUUAUUAUGUAAGUAAUCAAAACCAAGGUGAUAUCCAUGUGUUUUUUAUUUUCUUAUUGAUUUUUCAGAUUUCUUUUUCUUUUGUCUUGAUUGUUUGAAAACCAAAAUAUAUAUGUUUUCUUAAAGAUGGGACUGAAGUUUACUUUCUAACUGGGUUAGUCAUUCUUCCAGAAGAAUCUUGAGCCCAGCAAACUUGGGUAGAGUUAAAGAGGCAGAGAGGCCAGAGAUUAUAAAGCCAGACAUGGAAUUGGUUUGGGCAUAUAGAAGGGUCUGGAAACCAAGAGCAAGUCAAGCAAUUUCACUUAUAAACAUACCAGUUUUCUGGAAAAUUUUCUGAAAUUUUCUGAAAAAUUUGAACUACUUGCACAUUUUUUUUUUCCUCAAAACCUCCAAAGAAGUUUUAAGAUAUUGAAUAUCAUAUGACCCUUUCUGGUGGGGGUUUUGUACUUUAUUUUUUAACAGUGUGAACACCCUUGAGGUCUUUCUGUCAAAAGCUAUGUAUUUUUUAAGUGGGUUUUCACUUUUUUUUUUUUUAAGAUUUUAUUUAUUUUUUUUGACAGAGAUCACAAGUAGACAGAGAAGCAGGCAGAGAGAGAGAGGGAAGCAG